GACGAACGCUGGCGGCGUGCUUAACACAUGCAAGUCGAACGGAAAGGCCCUGCUCUUGUGGGGUGCUCGAGUGGCGCACGGGUGAGUAACACGUGAGUAUCCUGCCCUUGACUUUGGGGUAACUUCAGGAAACUGGGGCUAAUACCGGAUAGGAGCUCCUGCUGCAUGGUGGGGGUUGGAAAGUUUCGGCGGUUGGGGAUGGACUCGCGGCUUAUCAGCUUGUUGGUGGGGUAGUGGCUUACCAAGGCUUCGACGGAUAGGCGGCAUGAGAGGGUGACCGGGCACAUGGGGACUGAGAUACGGACCAGACUGCUACGGGAGGCAGCAGGGGGGAAUAUUGCACAAUGGGGGGAAGCCUGAGGCAGAAACGCCGCGUGCGGGAUGCCGGGCUUCGGGUGGAAAACAGAUUUCGCAGGUGACGAACAGUGAGUGACGGUAAUGGGUAAAGAAGCACCGGCUAACUACGUG
rnacentral:rRNA from 1 species